AAACGUAGGAGACAAACGUUAUCCGGAGUUACUGGGGCGUAAAGGGCGUGCAGGUUGGUCAUUUAAGUUCGGCGUGAAAGCUCUUGGCUAAACCGGGAGAGGUCGCCGGAGACUGGAUGGCUAGAGGGUGAUAGAGGCGGGGUGGAAUUCCGGGCGUAGUGGUGAAAUGCGUAGAGAUCCGGAGGAACACCGGUGGCGAAGGCGGCUUCCUGGACCGACACUGGACGCUGAGGCGCGAAAGCUAGGGGGAGCAAACGGGG
rnacentral:rRNA from 1 species